UUUCAUGGGCUGCAACCAGCA
rnacentral:piRNA from 1 species